CCUAUAAAUCUACUUUUAUUCAUAGAUUUUAACUUGAUAUAACGUUAAAUACCAUCAAAGAGGAGUAGUGUUUUGUAUUUUUGUAGGUUUUCUCUUUCAAUUUAAUAAAUAAAUGCUCCGUUUGGUUAAUUAGCUCAAAAGCAGUCUCAGAGGUGGUCUAAGGUAACGGUAACUGUUAAAAUCGAAUUUAACCUUACCUGUUUUAAAUUAUUUGAAAUUUAUCACUAUAAACUAUACAGUGUUAACUUUCUAAUAAUUAAAUUUUUAACCGUAGUAACGUUAAUUAGUUUGUUUGAAUAACUUACCUGCUGCUCGAGCUUGAUGAUGCUCAUGCUAUCAAUGCAGUGAACUUGAAUAUAAUCCGAUAUAACGUUAAAUAUAAAGGUUAACGUUAAUUAGACCGAGGCUGCCGAAAUCAUGUUCAGUGUAACGUUAUGUGGGAUUAAUAAUUUCCCCUUUUCUCCCUCAAGUGGCAGGCUUGUAAAUUCUGUCAUCUGUUCAUUAUUGGUGUUGAUGGUGUUUUUCACAUGCAUGCUUUUUAAUGCUAGUUUAAUUCUCAAAUUGAUCUGAUACUUUCGUUUCACAAAAAGUAAACAAAUUGUUCACUUUCUUAGGGCCUGACAACCACCAGUUGAGUCCAUGAUUCAGGGAAGAGACAGUCUGGGCAGCAGCAACAAGACAACUAUUACAAGUAGAGAUGGGUUUCAAGAACUGACACAACCACAUAUCCUCCAAAUCAUCUCUGCGUGGAUGGCAGCAAGGAUCCAGGAUCAAGAGAUCAUUCUUCAUGGAGACUGUUCCACAGGAAGCAGUUUCUCCUGGGUGAAAAACUAAACCUGGUUGUUUCAGCAUCACUCAG